CCAUAAUUUAAUAUACUAUAUAAUAUAACUAUAUAAUAGACAUUACAAAAACCAUAUAUAUAAUAAAAAGCAAGUUCCAACUCAGAUCAACCCAUAUAGAAGUAGUAUUAUAUUUUUAUUUAUCUAAUAAAAGGGUAUUGGAGAUGAUCACAAGUACACUCAAUAUAUAGGGGCUUCCUUCCCUCAACAAUAAGCAGUGCAUUUCUUUUUGCAAUCAAUAGUGCAACCACCACCUCCACCGCCACCACCAUAGCCCUUGCCGGAGCGGCUGUAGGAAGUAAA
rnacentral:lncRNA from 1 species